rnacentral:rRNA from 1 species
ACAGCAGCAGCCACGGUAAUACGAGGGGGGCAAGCGUUGUUCGGAUUUAUUGGGCGUAAAGGGUGCGUAGGCGGUUUGGCAAGUCUUGUGUGAAAUCUUCGGGCUCAACCCGAAGCCUGCACGAGAAACUACCGGGCUUGAGUAUUGGAGAGGUUAGUGGAAUUUCCGGUGUAGCGGUGAAAUGCGUAGAUAUCGGAAGGAACACCUGUGGCGAAAGCGGCUCACUGGACAAUAACUGACGCUGAUGCACGAAAGCUAGGGGAGCAAACAGGAUUAGAUACCCCCGUAGUCCCUGUCUCUUAUAC